GAUGAAGAACGCAGCGAAAUGCGAUAAGUAAUGUGAAUUGCAGAAUUCAGUGAAUCAUCGAAUCUUUGAACGCACAUUGCGCCCGCCAGUAUUCUGGCGGGCAUGCCUGUUCGAGCGUCAUUUCAACCAUCAAGCCCCCGGCUUGUGUUGGGGACCUGCGGCUGCCGCAGGCCCUGAAAACCAGUGGCGGGCUCGCUAGUCACUCCGAGCGUAGUAGUUACAUCUCGCUCAGGGCGUGCUGCGGGUUCCGGCCGUUAAAAGCCUUAUUUACCCAAGGUUGACCUCGGAUCAGGUAGGAAGACCCGCUGAACUUAAGCAUAUCAUAAGCGGAGGA
rnacentral:misc_RNA from 1 species